UGUAGCUCCGUGGUAGAGCAUUUGCCUAGCAUGCAGGAGGCUCUGGGUUCAAGCCCCAGUA
rnacentral:tRNA from 1 species